rnacentral:rRNA from 1 species
GGCUCAGGACGAACGCUGGCGGCGUGCUUAGCACAUGCAAGUCGAGCGGAAAGGCCCUUCGGGGUACUCGAGCGGCGAACGGGUGAGUAACACGUGAGCAACCUGCCCCCAGCUCUGGGAUAGCUCCCGGAAACGGGAAUUAAUACCGGAUACGACCCUGACUGACAUCGGUCAGGGUGGAAAGGAUUCCGGCUGAGGAUGGACUCGCGGCCUAUCAGCUAGUUGGUGGGGUAACGGCCCACCAAGGCGACGACGGGUAGCCGGCCUGAGAGGGCGACCGGCCACACUGGGACUGAGACACGGCCCAGACUCCUGCGGGAGGCAGCAGUGGGGAAUAUUGCGCAAUGGGCGAAAGCCUGACGCAGCGACGCCGCGUGGGGGAUGAAGGCCUUCGGGUUGUAAACCCCUUUCAGCAGGGACGAAGCGAGAGUGACGGUACCUGCAGAAGAAGCGCCGGCUAACUACGUGCCAGCAGCCGCGGUAACACGUAGGGCGCAAGCGUUGUCCGGAAUUAUUGGGCGUAAAGAGCUCGUAGGCGGUCUGUUGCGUCUGCUGUGAAAACCCGGGGCUUAACCCCUGGCUUGCAGUGGAUACGGACAGACUAGAGGUAGGUAGGGGAGAAUGGAAUUCCCGGUGUAGCGGUGAAAUGCGCAGAUAUCGGGAGGAACACCGGUGGCGAAGGCGGUUCUCUGGGCCUUACCUGACGCUGAGGAGCGAAAGCGUGGGGAGCGAACAGGAUUAGAUACCCUGGUAGUCCACGCUGUAAACGUUGGGCGCUAGGUGUGGGGUCCUUCCACGGAUUCCGUGCCGCAGCUAACGCAUUAAGCGCCCCGCCUGGGGAGUAC